rnacentral:tRNA from 1 species
GCGGGUGUAGCACAGUGGUAGUGCGGCAGCCUUCCAAGCUGUUUACGCGGGUUCGAUUCCCGCCACCCGCUCCA